rnacentral:rRNA from 1 species
UACAGAGGUCCCAAGCGUUGUUCGGAUUCACUGGGCGUAAAGGGUGCGUAGGCGGUCGGGUAAGUCGGAUGUGAAAUCUCACAGCUUAACUGUGAAACUGCAUUGGAUACUAUCCGGCUCGAGGAAUGGAGGGGAGACUGGAAUACUUGGUGUAGCAGUGAAAUGCGUAGAUAUCAAGUGGAACACCAGUGGCGAAGGCGAGUCUCUGGACAUUUCCUGACGCUGAGGCACGAAAGCCAGGGGAGCAAACGGG